GGGGGAUCAUCGGCGGAUUACGAAACAAUGAUGUUAACAUCGGACAUUAAGCUAUUGAAGAGGGCGUGGCGUAACGAGAAAGCGGCGCCGGGGAUACUUCAGUACGAAGGAGCUCUUGUUGAAAGAGCCAAAGAGCAGAACGAGUUAGUGAUGGAUUUGGACAGAACCCAAUUUCUACACAGAACUUAUCUCAGGGUUAGGCUUCUCUCAAGAUAGAGAAGUUUUUGUUCCACAACCUCAAGUCAGAAGAAGCUGAAAGACGGCUUCCUGAGCAAGACAAGGUGUUUGCUACAAGGUUAUUCUUACAUAUAAGCAAGAGGCAGUUGUUGAAAGAAAGUUAUCUUUGCGCUUGGGGCAAUGAUGCAGCUGAUGAGGUUGAAAACUAUUUCCAAACCCCUUCAUAGGUGUAAAAGCCUUUGAGAAUAUCUGGAAGGGCUUCUUUCGGUGUACUGCCCUACAAUUUUCAGUUUAAAUUUUGUUUUCUCAACUCAUGGCAUUGUUUCUUUGUCUGACCUCUUUCUAUACGGAAGGCUAAGGGCUCGAGAAUUUUCUAGAAGGGAUCCCUUGUGUCAAAAGGUGUAGCCCUCUAAUAAGGGAUAUGAAUAAAUGGUCUUUCGCUUAAAA